AUUGAACGCUGGCGGCAGGCCUAACACAUGCAAGUCGAACGGUAACAGGAAACAGCUUGCUGUUUCGCUGACGAGUGGCGGACGGGUGAGUAAUGUCUGGGAAACUGCCUGAUGGAGGGGGAUAACUACUGGAAACGGUAGCUAAUACCGCAUAACGUCGCAAGACCAAAGAGGGGGACCCUCGGGCCUCUUGCCAUCGGAUGUGCCCAGAUGGGAUUAGUUUGUUGGUGGGGUAACGGCUCACCAAGGCGACGAUCCCUACCUGGUCUGAGAGGAUGACCGGCCACACUGGAACUGAGACACGAUCCAGACUCCUACGGGAGGCAGCAGUGGGGAAUAUUGCACAAUGGGCGCAAGCCUGAUGCAGCCAUGCCGCGUGUAUGAAGAAGGCCUUCGGGUUGUAAAGUACUUUCAGCGGGGAGGAAGGGAGUAAAGUUAAUACCUUGGCUGAUUGACGUUACCCGCAGAAGAAGCACCGGCUAACUCCGUG
rnacentral:rRNA from 1 species